rnacentral:lncRNA from 1 species
GAUAAGCACAUUUCAUAUAUACAAUUUUGGCAUAGAAAUAUAUUAUUUAUUGAGAUAUGACCAUUAAUUCUUGCUGUGAAAUAUUGAAUAUUUGCAUGAAAAUCAUAUAAAGUAUCAUUUACUAGUCUUUGGUCUAUUUUGCAGAAAUGUGCGCAAAGGCACUAUAAAUCUUCAAGAUCCGGACUAAGUGGCUAAGAGAACGAAGAAGAGGAGGAAGAAUGGACCCGACCGUGAAGAAAAGAAGUAACCAGAGGGGCCAAGCUAAAGUUGGAGGGAUCAUCUUGUGAAGAAAGAAUAGAAGUGGAAGGGCAAAAGAGCAAAAGUGGCAGAUCAGAGGAGGGGGAUCAAAUCCCUACCGCAGCCUCGAUCCCCUUCGGGCCUGGCUACAUCUCAUCUCUCUCCCUCUCCCCUUCUUCUCCAUCACCGGCCGCCGCCACGGCCAGGCCGGCAUGGUGGUGAGCCAUUCACCCAGCGCCACCAUCUCCUUCUCCUCCCCGAAGCCAUCCAUCUCCACCGUCCGUGCCCAGCGCCAACCAGCACCGCCUCCAUCCAUCACCCAGCGCCACCACUACUCCUCCUACCUCCAGUGCCUACAUCCACCACACCAGCCGCUCCCUCACGCGCCGCAUCAGACACUCCGGCGCGAGUGUCUGGUCACCCGCGUGAGUGCGCCACCCAACUCCUUCGCCUCGGAUCUAUCUCACAGACCACCAGUGUGCCACCACCAUCGCCAACUCCCUCUUCCUUCUUCUGCUCUCUGCCUGCUGCUGCUUCUUCUUCCCACGCCCCUGCUGCUGCUUGCUCUCUCAAUCUCUGCUACUACUUCUCCAUCUCUUGCUGCUACUUCUUCUCUGAACCUCAUUUCUUCUCCUUGCAUCCCCUUGUUGCUGCUCCAUUCCCAAACUGCUGCUACCUAUUCUUCUUCUUCUCUGAACCUUUGUCCUUCCCCUCGUUGCUGCUCCUCACUUGCGCUAGCUGCUCCUGUUCCCUACGCCUCUGCUACUGUUUCUUGCUUCUCUUCUGAACCUGAAGCUCUCUCUCUCUCUUAUCUCAAACUGCUAUAAACUUUAGAAGUGUAAUGUUCAGAAUUUUGUAAUGUUCAGGGUUGUGGAAUGUUCAGACUUGACAAGUUCUAGCAACUCAUUAUUUGUUCAGUUUAGUACCUGUAUAAUAAAGUACUUGUUAUGUUGGACCUGGCUAGUUGAGGCCUUGUUAAUUUGGGUGAUAAUUGAUCUAUUAGAAUGUGCUUCUGUGUAUUACUAUUCUGCUAGUAUAUGUGCGUGUUCACCUUGUGUACUAAUCCCCUUUCCUAGUUAUCUUCCAGUACUUGUCAACUUUGUGUGUGUUUGAUUUUCAGUCCAUGUGUUAGCUCAAGUACCUGUGCCAUAUAAAUAUGUGUGUGUGCUUGUGAUUUAAAUAAUCUGUUUUUUGUUCAGUAAUUCAUACGCUUGCUAGAUAUAUAUGGUCAUGCCUUUUGAAUUCCCUUGUCACUGAUGUUAGCCUUUUAGUUUCUAUAAUAAUAUGAAAAUACCAAAAAGACAGAGUAAAGAUAAUCUUCAUCUCCCUUUGCUUCUGUCAUUUUCUUUGUUGAUGAUCCUUGUUAGUGUUAGGUUUAUUUUCUGUUUUCAUCAUUCAAUUGGGUCACCUAGCUUUAGUUGAACGUAGUUGCCGUCGCCUAGUCCCUGUGGAGAACACGACAUUCGUAGUUUGGGGCGUAAAAACCCCGCUAUAUUACAAUUGAUUAUUUUGGCGCCGUUGCCGGGGACUAGCGUCGAGCGAUUGUGCUAGGCUAUAGACUAGGUUUUUCUUGUUUUCAUCUUGUGCCAUAUAUUUGUGAUAUUUCUCAAGCCACUAACCCCUGUUCUAGUUAGUAUCUUUUUGUCUUCUUUUCCUUUUUGCAGGUUGGAUUAUCCUCUCGGAAAUGGCAUUCUAUUCAGAUCAUCAUGCUUAUGCGAGCAACACUACAAACAGCACAGAAACUAUUCAAGAACUGAUAGGUAAGAUUUCCCAUCGAUUAGAUGAUUUAGCUCGGCAGUGAGAAGUAGUUUUAGAGGAUAGGCCUAGUUCUUACUAUCCUUAUUCUAAAGGCCAUCCUUAUGUUGCUCCUACUUGCCAUAUUUGUGGAUUUCAGGGCCAUUCGCCCGCUGAAUGUCAGCGUGGCUACUCUCACACUCCGGAUUGUUUUGGCAUGAGCUUCGCUCAAGAGCAUAGCUCAUACCAAAACAAUUACUCACAUGGGUGGCCUGAAAUCCCGAAUAUGUCAUAUAGGAGCAACAACCCUGAGAUCUCACAGUUUGGUUCUAGUAAUCAUAUGCAGGGAUUUAGGUACAAUGAGGAGAGCCACAACUAUGCACCACAACAAUUCCAUUCAGCUCCUACUCAUAUACCACAGCACCAAGAGAUGUGUCCAAUGGAGUUAAAUGGUCCUCCAUUUGGUCAACCAACAACUCCAGCACCUGUUGUGCAAUCUCAUGUGCAAGUGCCCACACAAGAUGAGUUCGAUGACAUAGACAAGCUCACACUUUUGAGUCUCGAGUUCACUUGGAGUGCCGAGGAUGAUCCUAUUAGGAAGGUUAUACUAGAGGAAAUGAAGAAGAUUAAGAGUGGAAAGGAGCUAGUGGAUGAAGUAAGGAAGAUUGAGAAGAACAUCAACGCUGGUAGUACUAUCUCAUCUCUCCUUGAGCUGAGUGCUGCUGAGAUUUCUAGUCAUACAUGUGAGAUUCCAACACCUUCACAUUUCGUUGAGCAAGAUAGCAAGUGCCUUGAGCAAGAAAUACCUCAGAUUGAAGAAGAUGAACUAGAAGACAAGGAACAAGAUGGUCAAGAGCUGCAAUUCCCAAGUGAUCAAGUUGAAGACUCAUCAUCUACUACUCCUGAAGAAGUACAAGAAGCUGCUGUAGAUGAAGAUGAAGAACCUGAGAUUCAUUGGACUAUUAUCAUACAUGAGCAUGAUGUGUCAGGUUUACCCAAUCCUCUUGAUGACAUGAGUCCUUAUGAUUUAUUUGCUUCUACCUUGCAUUACAUGAUGCCAUCACUUAAGAUUUAUUUGAAAAAUCAUUUACUUGGAUAUGAUGAUACAUACACUGUUGGUGGCAUUGCUCUCAUUUGUGAUGAUCACAACUACUUUCCUCAUGCUAGUCUUGAGCUUAAUGAUAAAUGUCAUCCUCGUGUGAGUAUUGACCAUGCUGAUUUCUGCCAUCCUAAACAUGUGCUUUAUAGUUAUGCUUAUAUAAUUGGAUAUUCCAUUGAUGACUUGGAGGGCAUCGACCGUAUCACUUGUAGUUGUUUGUGUGAGUCCUAUUUUAGGCUUUUGCUACUGCACUAUUUACUACAUGCUGACCAGGUUCGAGGUGACAUUCCUUGGGAUCCUGGUGGAGUCAGAGCAUGGCGAUGAGGAGAAGCAAUGGGGCACACAUAUGGAAGAGUGAAGCUGGAGCAUCCACGAGGAAGCAAGGGAGAAGAGCUGCAGCUGGUGAGGUGAUCGAGCGAAUGCUACAUGAUCAAAGCCCGGUGAGAUGUUUCAUGACCCAUUCUGAAUAUCAUAAAUACAUGCUAAAUUCAAUUGCUAGUUGGGUUGCUUGAGCUAGUUAUUACUUGUUGUCAAGCUGAAAUUCACCUUUGGCAUUGUGCUUGAUGUGAAUUUGUGAACUUGAUUUCUGAAUGCCUUGUAAACUAGUGAUCUACACCAUGCAUGCUUUGCUGAAAUUUGUGGAAGUUAUUAGUUUUGAGUGCUCAAAUCCCUAGUACACUAGAAAACUUGAUCAUUUUUUGCUUUUACCUUGAUACACCUAGAUCACCAUGUUUAGAUGCUGAAUUUGUGCUAAGUGUGUUCCCAUUGAGAGCAAUCACCUAACCACUAUGGAUUAGCAUGCUAUGUUCCCUGGAUCAGUAGCAUGUGAACCAGACAUGGAGAAGUGAUGAUUCCUGUUUUUGUGCUUAUGUGUUGUUCAUUUAAGAUAGGUAAUAAUGAAUAUAUAAGUCUGGCUACCUACAGUAGCAUGUCAUGUUCCCGGGAUCGGUGGCAUGUGAAAUCGGGUUAGCUUGGGCAGUAAUUAAUAAUAAUAAAAAAGUAAUUGUCGAACCAGGUGUAUACCAUGAUCUCGGGAUCGGUGGUAUGUUCCUUUGGGGAGACAAACAAAAAAAUUAAUAAAAAUUGGUUGAGCCAGGUGUAUACCAUGUUCUCGGGAUCGGUGGUAUGUUCCUUCGGUGAGACUAAUAAAAUAAUAUGUGUGUUUCUUUCAAAUUCAAUAAGUGGUUCAACCACAAAGUCAUAUUUCUGCAAAUAAGAGAUUUAGUUCCAGUUCUUUUUGUUCUCGGGAUCAUGCUCUCUUUAGGAACCAUUUGGCGCAGUCAUCAUUUAAACUUGUUGAUCCUCUUUUAUCAUUGUAAAAGUUUAAAAUGGUCAUGCUUACUAGUAUCCUACCGCUUUGAAGCACUCCUAACCAUUAAUUUUCACUAGCUAAGUCCAAAGCAUGCACUGUUUAGAGAUCUACUUCACUUGGUAUUCUCUAGUCAGCUCACUGUUCACAUUCUUGUUCUUGUCAUAUGCCUUUGCUCGAGGACAAGCAAAAGUUUAAGUGUGGGGAACUUGAUAAGCACAUUUCAUAUAUACAAUUUUGGCAUAGAAAUAUAUUAUUUAUUGAGAUAUGACCAUUAAUUCUUGCUGUGAAAUAUUGAAUAUUUGCAUGAAAAUCAUAUAAAGUAUCAUUUACUAGUCUUUGGUCUAUUUUGCAAAAAUGUGCGCAAAGGCACUAUAAAUCUUCAAGAUCCGUACUAAGUGGCUAAGAGAACGAAGAAGAGGAGGAAGAAUGGACCCGACCGUGAAGAAAAGAAGUAACCAGAGGGGCCAAGCUAAAGUUGGAGGGAUCAUCUUGUGAAGAAAGAAUAGAAGUGGAAGGGCAAAAGAGCAAAAGUGGCAGAUCAGAGGAGGGGGAUCAAAUCCCUAGCGCAGCCUCGAUCCCCUUCAGGCCUGGCUACAUCUCAUCUCUCUCCCUCUCCCCUUCUUCUCCAUCACCGGCCGCCGCCACGGCCAGGCCGGCGUGGUGGUGAGCCAUUCACCCAGCGCCACCAUCUCCUUCUCCUCCCCGAAGCCAUCCAUCUCCACCGUCCGCGCCCAGCGCCAACCAGCACCGCCUCCAUCCAUCACCCAGCGCCAACCAGCACCGCCUCCAUCCAUCACCCAGCGCCACCACUACUCCUCCUACCUCCAGUGCCUACAUCCACCACACCAGCCGCUCCCUCACGCGCCGCAUCAGACACUCCGGCGCGAGUGUCUGGUCACCCGCGUGAGUGUGCCACCCAACUCCUUCCGCCUCGGAUCCAUCUCGCAGACCACCAGUGUGCCACCACCAUCGCCAACUCCCUCUUCCUUCUUCUGCUCUCUGCCUGCUGCUGCUUCUUCUUCCCAUGCCCCUGCUGCUGCUUGCUCUCUCAAUCUCUGCUACUACUUCUCCAUCUCUUGCUGCUACUUCUUCUCUGAACCUCAUUUCUUCUCCUUGCAUCCCCUUGUUGCUGCUCCAUUCCCAAACUGCUGCUACCUAUUCUUCUUCUUCUCAGAACCUCUGUCCUUCCCCUCGUUGCUGCUCCUCACUUGCGCCAGCUGCUCCUGUUCCCUACGCCUCUGCUACUGGUUCUUGCUUCUCUUUUGAACCUGAAGCUCUCUCUCUCUCUCUUAUCUCAAACUGCUGUAAACUUUAGAAGUGUAAUGUUCAGAAUUUUGUAAUGUUUAGGGUUGUGUAAUGUUCAGACUUGACAAGUUCUGGCAACUCGUUAUUUGUUCAGUUUAGUACCUGUAUAAUAAAGUACUUGUUAUGUUGGACCUGGCUAGUUGAGGCCUUGUUAAUUUGGGUGAUAAUUGAUCUAUUAGAAUGUGCUUCUGUGUAUUACUAUUCUGCUAGUAUAUGUGCGUGUUCACCUUGUGUACUAAUCUCCUUUCCUAGUUAUCUUCCAGUACUUGUCAACUUUGUGUGUGUUUGAUUUUCAGUCCAUGUGUUAGCUCAAGUACCUGUGCCAUAUAAAUAUGUGUGUGUGCUUGUGAUUUAAAUAAUCUGUUUU